UACGUAGGGGGCAAGCGUUGUCCGGAUUUAUUGGGCGUAAAGAGCGUGUAGGCGGCCAGACAGGUCCGUUGUGAAAACUCGAGGCUCAACCUCGAGACGCCGAUGGAAACCGUCUGGCUAGAGUCCGGGAGAGGGGGGUGGAAUUCCCAGUGUAGCGGUGAAAUGCGUAGAUAUCUGGAGGAACACCGGUGGCGAAGGCGGCAUCCUGGACCAACACUGACACUGAGGAGCGAAAGCCAGGGGAGCAAACGGG
rnacentral:rRNA from 1 species